GGUACCAUGGCCAAGCGGUCUAAGGCGCUGGAUUAAGCCUCCAGUCUCUUUGGAGGUGUGGGUUUCAAUCCCAUGUAGCU